rnacentral:rRNA from 1 species
GGAUCAAUAUGUUGGUCGUGCCUCGGUACGUACUGGCUUAUUGGUUUCUCCCUUCUGACGAACCAUGAUGUCAUUUAUUUGGUGUUAUGAGGAAUCAGGACUGUUACUUUUUGAAAAAUUAGAGUGUUUAAAGCAGGCUCACGCUUGAAUACAUUAGCAUGGAAUAAUGAAAUAGGACGUUUGAUUCUAUUUUGUUGGUUUCUAGGAUCGACGUAAUGAUUA